UACGGAGGGUGCGAGCGUUGUUCGGAAUCACUGGGCGUAAAGGGCGUGUAGGCGGUCCGCUAAGUCUGAUGUGAAAGCCCGGGGCUCACCCCCGGAAGGGCAUUGGAAACUGGCGGACUCGAGUCCCGGAGAGGAAGGUGGAAUUCCUGGUGUAGCGGUGAGAUGCGUAGAUAUCAGGAGGAAUACCGGUGGCGAAGGCGGCCUUCUGGACGGUGACUGACGCUGAGACGCGAAAGCGUGGGGAGCAAACAGG
rnacentral:rRNA from 1 species